GAUUCGAGGAUUCGGAUCGAAAGCUUCGUGGAUUCGGAGUGGAGGCGUUUCGUGGAUUCGGAACGUGGCGUUCCUGGAUUCGAACGUGAGGGCGUAGACAACCUGGAGGAUUGCGCGAGAUUCAUAGAAGAUAGAAGAGAUGUUUAAGUCCGUGGAUUCGGUAAAUCACCUUAUAAUCUUUUAUUCUUAGUGAAGUGUUAUCGCGUGUUGGUCCCGUGAGUUUUUUACUCCGAGUUAGAAUUUUUCCACGUAAAUCUCGAUAUAAUUUUUAUAUUCACCCCCCUCUAGAUAUUUGAUACAAUCUAAAUAGAUCCUUGGGCAUCCCAAAAUUUACAAAAUUGUCAAUAAGCGUGCGUCCUUUCCGAUCUGAUAUUUUACAUUUCUUUUUUAAACUAUGAAUCAUCUCUAGCACAAGUGAUAAAGGGUUUACUGAUUGAUAUCCGAAAUCCCAAGUUCGAAUCUUAAUUGAUUCACAUUUUCAGCUAAGUUUAUUUCUAAAAAAUAAAUUGAAGUGGGUAGCAUGCUACCUUUCUCUGAAAAAAUGUAAGACGAAUGCUAUUUUGUUAUUUU
rnacentral:lncRNA from 1 species